rnacentral:rRNA from 1 species
AAUAGAUACCCGGGUAGUCCAUGCCGUAAACGUUGGGCACUAGGUGUGGGACUCACUCAACGGGUUCCGUGCCGUAGCUAACGCAUUAAGUGCCCCGCCUGGGGAGUACGGCCGCAAGGCUAAAACUCAAAGGAAUUGACGGGGGCCCGCACAAGCAGCGGAGCAUGUUGCUUAAUUCGAGGCAACGCGAAGAACCUUACCUGGGUUUGACAUGUACGGAAAAGCCGCAGAGAUGCGGUGUCCUUUUGGGCCGUACACAGGUGGUGCAUGGUUGUCGUCAGCUCGUGUCGUGAGAUGUUGGGUUAAGUCCCGCAACGAGCGCAACCCUUGUCCUAUGUUGCCAGCGGGUAAUGCCGGGGACUCGUAGGAGACUGCCGGGGACAACUCGGAGGAAGGUGGGGAUGACGUCAAAUCAUCAUGCCCCUUAUGUCCAGGGCUGCAAACAUGCUACAAUGGCCAGUACAAAGGGCUGCUAUACCGCGAGGUUGAGCGAAUCCCAUAAAGCUGGUCUCAGUUCGGAUUGGAGU